UUGAAUCGCUAUUGUUGAUAAGCAUAAACUGCAGAAUGGCGAUUCAGUGAGGAGCUGUCAAGGAUUGUUGCCUGCGCCUGAUGGACGUCAAAGCGAUCUGAAAGCAAGCGCGAAUGUGACGUCCCGAUAAUGUACAGUAUGCAGACAGUGCGUUUCUAUUGUUAUCUCGUUUGGAGUGUUUGGUGUUUCUUACAAGUCACCGCCGACUAUGUCAAACUGUCACAUGAUGGACCAGUUGUGCUAGGUGGUACAAUCACUUUCAGAGCUGAUCUAUAUGGAGACGAUGGCCAGAGACCGCCAGGCACUUUCAAAUACAAAUGGCGAGAUAAUUCGUUAGCAAAGCAUGAGUAUCAGACUGAGGCAACAUCGAACACUACAACAUUUUGGAGUUUAAGUUACUCAAGACAAGAUAAUACUCCUGGCAGAUACAUUAUGGAGAUAUUAGUUGAAUAUCGUUUGUUUCCAUAUGUCUGGUCACAAGACACAAGUGCUCGCAUUGAAUUUAAAAUCACUGAAUGCCUUAAUGGUAACAUAACCAUGGAGCAAGGCAAUAAAUCCAUAGCAGGAGAAUAUGUUUCUUCUGUGAAUGAGACGAAAUUGAUGAUAGACAUGCGUAAAGGAGAUUACGAUUUCAUAAUGAAAAAAGCAACAUCUAUAUCGACGUAUUGGUUCAUCGAUUGCAAGUAUUACGGCCUAACGAAUGAUUUCACUUUUGCAUAUAAUUUCACAAAACCUGACACGGUGCAUGAAAUAGGAGCUUUAACAGUCGUGUCAUAUAUACCUCCAACAACCACGACUAUCUCGCCACCUACCACCACCACUACGGCUGUGCCCGUUAACGUGACGACAAUCGCGCCGAACACCACUACGACUAAUCCAAAUAGAACUGUCGUAACUGUAACAACAACCGCAUCGCCAACUGUCACAACUGUAAAAUCUACAACGGCGAAAUCUACGACUGCGUCUCCGACCAAUGCAAGCGCGAUUGACGCCGCAAAUAUGUCUCUGCCUUAUAUAUGUUCGAACAUGUCGCUCAUUCCACCGGAUCCCAACAACACAUACGGAUUUUUCCAGAAGAAAAUAAAUGUCCGUGCUCCCAUAUCGAACAUCUCGGUAGACGGUACAAAUUGGAUUCAACCGUGGGAUAUGUUGAAUUUGAAUGUGACCUGUAAAGGAUCGGGUCCUUUCCACAAGUGUCUUCAGUUUCAUCGUGGGAAAUACAACGUGACGGGCAAUGAGACGUGCGACAACAUAGAACACUUGCACACCUGCAAUUUUCCCAUCGUUCAUUAUUUUCUGGAGCCCAGUAUCUACACGAUAUUAAUCGUAUUGAACAACGAAGUUAGCACCCAGAUUUAUCCAUUAACGAUAAACAUUUACAAAGUCACGACGAAGCCACAGCUAUCAGUCAUCGUAGUGCCGGUCUCUUGCACUCUCGUGGCCGUAGUGCUGAUAGUGUUUGGUGUGGCGUACUACAUUCAAAGCAGAGCAAGGUUCACGGUGGAAGUCGCGGAUUUCGACUUUGGGCAAAGUAAUCCAGAGAUGGAAUAUAAAACGUUUGCGGAACGUUUGCGUGACUCGCUCAAUAACACUGUAAGACCUGGAGGCAAAGGGACAAGUGUACGCCCGUAUUACGGCAGCAUGAAUCACUGAAAAAAUAUUGACCAUGCGAUUUGUGCGGUCUCUCUCGCUGUGUAAUUUUUCUGUUAUUCUAAAAAUGCAGAUUAUAAGCCAUUGAACAAUCCACAAACGCAUCAGUGACGCAUAAACAAGGAGCGACUUUCAGAAGACGAGAAGCGACACUAAACUUACAAGAGUGUCUGUGAAGAGAUGCAUUACAGAGAUACGCAAUGUGUCAAACAGGUACACCCAUUAGCGAAUUCCACGUUGGUAUAUUGUUGGUACCAAUAUUCCAUAUUGGUGGCAAAGAGGUUUGUCAAGUCUCUUGUUGCUGCAAUUAAAUAGAUAUUAAAUAACUUCACUUGAGGAUCGACGUGUCAUAAAAAGGAAAAAAAGGGAAAAAACAGACAAAUCACUGCGCGAUCUUUCCCAAAAAUUUUCGAAUUGUUAGAUUAACAUUGUACAUAGGCGUGGCAGAAAUUACGAAGAUGUAUAUAUAGGCUGUGAAUAUAUGUAGCGUGCAAUAGUGGUAGAGUCGCUCUUACAUAAUACAUGAAAGAAUUUGAUAUUUUUUUAAGGUCCCAAAUGAAAGUUAUCGAUUUAUGAGCCUUUUUAUGAUUUAUCGUAUAUAUUUGCUUUAAAUCGUUAGUUACUAUUGAUCUACCUUCUUUAUACUUACAUAGAAUUUAAGAUGGAAUUGAUAUUAUAUCAACUUACAGCACAUCAUAGGAGUGAAAGAGAUUAAUACUUUUAGAGGAAACUCUUAAUUCAUUAGCAAAUUAUUUUAUAUCCUCUAUUCUGAUUUCUCUUUUACAGAUAACAGUGUCUCUAAAUAUAGCUUUUGUAAACCUUCUGAUUGGCCUUCAGUCGCAUUUAGAGGCACUUUUAUUGAUAAAGAAAAUUCAGAAUAAAAGCUUGUACGUCAUAUUCCAUAGAAUCACCGAUAAUUUUAUAAAGACACCAAUUAAUCACUUUCUCUUCAUAUCUUUUUCUCUCUCUCUCUCUCUUAAAGGAUCUGGUUAGUUUAUAGGCAUGAAUUUAAGGAGUUUCUUUGGAAUUUUUUUAUACAAAAAUUGUAAGACAUUUUUCAACUUUUCAGUAUGUUUUUGUUAUACUUUGAGAAAGUUACAUAAUUUUCUUCAUAAUUGAAACUCACGUAUUAGUUGAGUUAUAGAGUGCAGUGCAACACGCUCUCGUGUUCUGCUGGUGUACAUAAUAUAAUAACUGCCUAUAGUGAUCUGAAACAAAAAAUUAAACAAAAUUCUUAUUUUAUAUAAAUGUGACUGUCGUCUGAACUAGGAUUACUGAUCUAAACCAAAAAAUCUGACGAAAUAGCAAAAUAGAAAAACAAACUGCAAGGUUACGAUUUACUUUUCUAUUCCGUCAUUUUGUCAAAUUUUAGUUUAGACCAGUAAUCCUAAUUCAGACGAUAGCCAUACUUAUAUAAAAUAAGAAUCUUGUUUGUUUUGUGUUUGUUUCAUGUACUAUAGAUCUCUUCAGAAUCGAUUCCAAUCGAAAUAAUUCCGUUAUGCUGUAAAAAAUUCCAAAUAAACUCCUUUAAUUUACGCUUGUAAACUACAGACUAUUUAGCCAGAACCUUUGAUCGCUCACAUACCAUACACACACACAUACACACACAAAUCCGACAUCACACGCGGAAAUCGCUGAGUAAAGAUGCGUUAUUGAGAAGCGGGAUUACAGCACGACCAAAUUGAGAAAUUAUUUUAUAAAUUAUGUGUUAUAUAUUUAUAAUUCAUUGAUAAGUAGGUCUCUUUUAAAAGAUUUCGAGUCAAGUCACUUAGGCAGAUAUAUUACUACGAACGCUUGUACAAGACGCUCUAGGCUAGAGAAAUAGUCUAACUCGAGCAAAAAGAAAAUAUAAUUAUCACAAUAUCGUGGCGCAAAAACAUUUAUCUGCCAAAUACUUAACGAAAAAGAACAAAAGUGUCAUAGAUAUUACGUUAGGUGUCGUUUCCCGCAUUAUCGUCACUCGGAAGGACACGCAUUGUCCCGAAAAAUCGAAAUCUCGAAAUUCAAAAACUGCGACAAUGUCUCUAAAAAUCAUAAUAUCGAAAUUUGUAUACUCAAGAGAGUUUCUCGAAAUACAAUUUUUCGAGACGGGAGAUGCUUUUUGAGAGAUUGUUUCGGUAUAUUCAGAUUUCGAUAUUAUAUAUAUUCGGGAUAUUGUUCUACUUUCUAAGUUUCGAUACAAUUUUUGUUCGAGACAAUGUAUCUUCCAUCAUUCGGACGAUUGUUGUUGUUACGAUACCGACGCACAGGAUCUGUUUUGUCCACAGACACGGCAUGUAAACAUUUUGUUAAGAUUAUUGUAACGCUAUAAUGAUACUUUGAUUAAAGUGAUUGGUUUUAAUUAGC